rnacentral:rRNA from 1 species
UACGUAGGUGGCAAGCGUUAUCCGGAAUUAUUGGGCGUAAAGAGCGCGCAGGUGGUUGAUUAAGUCUGAUGUGAAAGCCCACGGCUUAACCGUGGAGGGUCAUUGGAAACUGGUCGACUUGAGUGCAGAAGAGGGAAGUGGAAUUCCAUGUGUAGCGGUGAAAUGCGUAGAGAUAUGGAGGAACACCAGUGGCGAAGGCGGCUUCCUGGUCUGUGACUGACACUGAGGCGCGAAAGCAUGGGUAGCGAACAGGAUUA